rnacentral:rRNA from 1 species
UACGUAGGGGGCAAGCGUUGUCCGGAAUCAUUGGGCGUAAAGAGCGUGUAGGCGGCCUGGUAGGUCCGCUGUGAAAGUCCAGGGCUCAACCCUGGAAUGCCGGUGGAAACUGUCAGGCUCGAGUCCGGAAGAGGCGAGUGGAAUCCUGGUAUAGCGGUGAAAUGCGCAGAUAUCAGGAGGAACACCAAUGGGCGAAGGCAGCUCGCUGGGACG